AACGAACGCUGGCGGCAGGCUUAACACAUGCAAGUCGAACGCAUCCUUCGGGGUGAGUGGCAGACGGGUGAGUAACGCGUGGGAACGUGCCCUUCAGUUCGGGAUAACCCAGGGAAACUUGGGCUAAUACCGGAUACGUGCGAGAGCAGAAAGAUUUAUCGCUGAAGGAUCGGCCCGCGUCUGAUUAGCUAGUUGGUGGGGUAAUGGCCCACCAAGGCGACGAUCAGUAGCUGGUCUGAGAGGAUGAUCAGCCACAUUGGGACUGAGACACGGCCCAAACUCCUACGGGAGGCAGCAGUGGGGAAUAUUGGACAAUGGGCGCAAGCCUGAUCCAGCCAUGCCGCGUGAGUGAUGAAGGCCUUAGGGUUGUAAAGCUCUUUCGUCCGGGACGAUAAUGACGGUACCGGAAGAAGAAGCCCCGGCUAACUUCGUGCCAGCCGCCGCUGUAA
rnacentral:rRNA from 1 species